CGAACGCUGGCGGCAGGCUUAACACAUGCAAGUCGAACGGGCACUUCGGUGUCAGUGGCAGACGGGUGAGUAACGCGUGGGAACAUACCUCUUGGUUCGGAACAACACAGGGAAACUUGUGCUAAUACCGGAUAAGCCCUUACGGGGAAGAUUUAUCGCCGAGAGAUUGGCCCGCGUCUGAUUAGCUAGUUGGUGUGGUAAAAGCGCACCAAGGCGACGAUCAGUAGCUGGCUGAGAGGAUGAUCAGCCACAUUGGGACUGAGACACGGCCCAAACUCCUACGGGAGGCAGCAGUGGGGAAUAUUGGACAAUGGGCGCAAGCCUGAUCCAGCCAUGCCGCGUGAGUGAUGAAGGCCCUAGGGUUGUAAAGCUCUUUUGUACGGGAAGAUAAUGACGGUACCGUAAGAAU
rnacentral:rRNA from 1 species